GACAGAGGCCUCAAGCGUUAGGCGGAAUCACUGGGCUUAAAGCGUGUGUAGGCGGAUCGUUAAGUACCUUGUGAAAUCCCACGGCUCACCCGUGGAACUGCUGGGUAUACUGGCGAUCUUGGGCCAACUAGGGGCAGCUGGAACAAGCGGUGGAGCGGUGAAAUGCGUAGAUAUCGCGUGGAACGCCGAAGGUGAAAACAGGCUGCUGGGGUUGUGCCGACGCUGAGACACGAAAGCCAGGGGAGCAAACGGG
rnacentral:rRNA from 1 species